GGGGUUGUGGCUCAGUGGUAGAGUGCUCGCUUAGCACGCGAAAGGCCCUGGGUUCGAACCUCAACACCA
rnacentral:tRNA from 1 species